rnacentral:lncRNA from 1 species
CUGUGUUGCAAAGAAUGGAUGUUAAGUACUUACUCAUGGCUCUGGAGCACCUCUGUACAAUUCUCUUAUUCAGAUCAAUAAAGUCAAAAGAGCACAAAACAUAGAAGAGUACUGAACUGUAACAAUACAGAUGAAAAUAAAAGUUUAAAUUUCACCCAACCUACCUCCCUUUUACAUAUCUUCUGUCACCCACACUCCCUGCUCUCUGUUAGCUUUUGGAUCAUCUGAUUUAACUGUAUUGCCUGGGGAGGCUUCUGUGCAAAACGCUGUGCCACAGUGAGGUGUACAGAGAUCUGUCACCCCAGUUCCUUACACACACCAUCUCACAAUGCACAAAUCAAAAAGCUUUCGGCAUUUACCUACACUUACAGCAGAGAGCCUGAGUGCUUACUGGAUGCUAGAGAAUAACAGAGACAAUUGCCAUCUCUUAUCCCAAACUAAUUAUGAUACUCUAAUUUAUUUAUUUUUUAUUGAACAUCAAAACUGAAAAUUGAUAUUGAUUUAGGAAUAUAUUCCUUUAGCAAUCAAAUGUCAUUUUCUGUGUGCUACCACUGGUUAGGAUGUUUGGAGCUUAAGGUAGUCUUUUGGAAACAGUAAAACAGGAACAUCGUCCUUUGUUUAGACCAGUGAAAAAAUGAUUCAGGCUUCUUUUUCUAACUAUGCAGGUUAAACAAUAACAGUUUCCACCUCCUGUGUUCAACUGAGCAUUCACGUGCCAGCAUUAUAUGAAGCCCUAAAUGUAGAAAUGGAUGCCUGGGGAAAACAUAUGCCGUAUAUACCGUGCACAGACAGUAAGGUGCUGGAACACUGGGAAUGCAAGAGGUUCCCAUUUGAAGUGUAGGAAGUAUGCAGUAAGAAAAGAGAAGAGAAAUGAGAUUGACCUAGUGAGUGGCAACCCUGCCCAUGUCAUGGUGGUUGGAACUAGAUGAUUUUAAGAUCUCUUCUAACCCAAGCCAUUUUGUGAUUCUGUGGUUCUAUGUUCUAUUGUUCUAUAAGGCUCAUUUUACUUUUCAUGUCAGUUGUGGUAAUCUGUUUAUGAGUAAAAUUAAUUCAGCUUGUUU